rnacentral:sRNA from 1 species
UACUUUUAGGGAUGUAGGGUUAAACCCGAA